GAUGCAACGUGCAGGAUUGACCCAGAAUGACCUUCUAUUCUCACUGCCUAAAGAUUGGGCUGUCUGGGAGGGGCCCAACCACCUUGUCCCUGCAGGAGGAAAUUGAUUCCAGGAUUCCUGAGGAUAUCAGAAUCUGUGGCUGCUCAAGUCUCUUAUACAAAAUGGAAGUAGCGUCAGGACUGGUCUUUCCUGAACUCAGGUUUGCAAUCCUCCACUCCUUGCAGUCUGACAAGCAGAGAGAAUUUCUUCAGAGACAAAACUGCUGAGAUGCUCCUUGGCUGAAAGCCUCCAUGGCCUGCUGCUGCUAUGUCUUAGGAUGACCUACAAGGCUCAGCAUGUCUGUGCCUUCAUCUCAGGCAACUAGGGGUCCCCUCUUGGUGCUGCCAAAGUCCUCUCUUGUGAUUCAUGCUCCUUAGAGUUAGUUGUACAACAUGGGGGAUUAUUCUCUACCCAAACUCUUGUUUUUUAGCUUCAUUACCCUUCUUAAGCUCUCUUAAUAUGCGAUGUCUUUUACCACUUGCAGUCAUCUGCACAGGCUGUUUUCUCUUGGUCCAGAAUAACCCUUGCUCUUUUAGAUGGAGAUCUUAACUAUCUGCCUCAGAGUAGAUCUGCAACAAUUGCUUUCCAUUCAUUGGCACCCUGUUCUCUCUGAACAUUGAUCACAUUUGUGCUUACACAGUUAGAUGAGACAUUAUUUGUGUGACUGUCUCUGCCAUUAGAUGGAAACCCAUGAUUGCAGGACUAUGAUCUGCCAUGCUCUUGGCACCAUGCCUUACACAGGGAGGGGCUCAGUGUUUGUCAAAUGAAUACUUUAUCUGGGGGAAAAAAGUCAAAACUAGUUUACAAGGAGGCAUCAGGGGAGGAUAAUAUUGAUGGUUUCCUCGUGAGAAGGGAUAACAAACAGAAAUUAAUUGUGUGCUGCCUUUUAAUUAGAUGCAUGUAAAAGGUCAUCAUUAGGACUGGCUGGGAAUCUUUAUUAUUAUAUUGUAGCGAGCACAACAUAUCUAUAAGGCUUUAAGGGUCCCCAGAAGACUCCCAUCCCGGUUAUUUUCUCACCCUAUUUAGUUUCCUCAUCUGCGACCUCUGCUUCUCUGUGUGAAGUCUCCUUGCUCUUUCAGACCAAGGAGACUUUCAGACCAAGAGAACAGUCUGUGCAAAUGUCUGGAGCAGUGCUUCUCAGCCCUGGCUUCACCUCUGGGGAGUUUUUCUAAGACACUAAUGCCCUUGCUUUACCCCCUGAAAUUCUGAUGUAAUCGUUUAGAGUGAGUCGCAGGCACCCUGGAUUAAGAAACGCUGACUGACAUUCUAUACCAUGUGCGAAUAACUCUUCAGGGAAAUGCCCAAUACAGGAAAAUUGGAAGUUCAUUUAUUUAUUUACUUAUUUAUUUUUGGGACUGGAUGGACAAAGAUUUACUUUUUAGUCCAUUAGGCCAAUAUACUUCUUAAAGUAACUCAGAAGAGAGAUAAAUGCACUCUCUCGAAUAAACAAUUAAAAUAAUUAAAAAUCACAUAUAGGUUUGGUGCAGCAGCGUCACUCUUGAGCUGGCUGAGUUCCCUGAAAUAUCUGUCCCCACAAGUCAAGCUAAGCCUUCUCCUGAGCCUCUCCCCAAGGGAUCCUGCCAGCCACAAGAUCUCAUUUCUCUGACACCUGCUGCCACCAUCUACAGCCCUCUCCAGGUAGGAAUAGAAGCUGUUCAGUCACCUUUCCUCUUCUCUACCUCUUUCUUUCCCCCAUCUCUUCCCUUUUCAAAGACUAUUCUUUCCCUAAAACAACUGAGUAAUAGCAACACAUGUUGUCAAACCAAACACACACACACACACACAUACACACACACACACACACACACAUCCCUAGAGGCUCCAAUCAAGGAAGAAAGAAAAGAGCAGGCACCAUAUUCGAGGGAACAUCAAGUCAUCCAAAUGUAAUUAAGAGUUUCUUUCUCAGCCAGGACUUUUAAUUGUUGCUUCUGCUCCUGAGCACCCAUCUGCUUUUAGAAAAGGUGUCCUCUGCAUCCGUGAGCUUUCCAAAUGCCCUUCAGCCUAUCAGAGCGUCCUACUACAUUGCACUUGUCAUAUCGGGAUUCUUGAAUAUCAAAAAUGUCAGCCCAGCCUUUGCUUUGAGAAUGAAAAUAAAAAUGCAAAUUUGAUUUUA